UACCUGGUUGAUCCUGCCAGUAGUCAUAUGCUUGUCUCAAAGAUUAAGCCAUGCAAGUCUAAGUACGAGCUCUCGUACAGUGAAACUGCGAAUGGCUCAUUAAAUCAGUUAUGGUUCAUUUGAUCGUACAGUUU
rnacentral:ncRNA from 1 species